rnacentral:rRNA from 1 species
GACGAACGCUGGCGGCGUGCUUAACACAUGCAAGUCGUACGGUAAGGCCCUUUCGGGGGUACACGAGUGGCGAACGGGUGAGUAACACGUGAGUAACCUGCCCACAACUUUGGGAUAACGCUAGGAAACUGGUGCUAAUACUGGAUAUGUGCUCCUGCUGCAUGGUGGGGGUUGGAAAGCUCCGGCGGUUGUGGAUGGACUCGCGGCCUAUCAGCUUGUUGGUGGGGUAGUGGCCUACCAAGGCGGCGACGGGUAGCCGGCCUGAGAGGGUGACCGGCCACAUUGGGACUGAGAUACGGCCCCGACUCCUACGGGAGGCAGCGGUGGGGAAUAUUGCACAAUGGGCGCAAGCCUGAUGCAGCAACGCCGCGUGCGGGAUGACGGCCUUCGGGUUGUAAACCGCUUUCAGCAGGGACGAAGCUUUUUGUGACGGUACCUGCAGAAGAAGCACCGGCUAACUACGUG